UACGGGGGGUGCAAGCGUUGUUCGGAAUUAUUGGGCGUAAAGGGCUCGUAGGCGGUCCGUCACGUCGGGAGUGAAAACUCGGGGCUCAACCCCGAGCCUGCUUCCGAUACGGGCGGACUAGAGGUAGGUAGGGGAGAACGGAAUUCCUGGUGUAGCGGUGAAAUGCGCAGAUAUCAGGAGGAACACCGAUGGCGAAGGCAGGUCUCUGGGCCAUAACUGACGCUGAGAAGCGAAAGCGUGGGUAGCAAACAGG
rnacentral:rRNA from 1 species